rnacentral:rRNA from 1 species
CAGUCGCCGCGGUAAUACAGAGGGUGCGAGCGUUAAUCGGAUUUACUGGGCGUAAAGCGUGCGUAGGCGGCUUUUUAAGUCGGAUGUGAAAUCCCUGAGCUUAACUUAGGAAUUGCAUUCGAUACUGGGAAGCUAGAGUAUGGGAGAGGAUGGUAGAAUUCCAGGUGUAGCGGUGAAAUGCGUAGAGAUCUGGAGGAAUACCGAUGGCGAAGGCAGCCAUCUGGCCUAAUACUGACGCUGAGGUACGAAAGCAUGGGGAGCAAACAGGAUUAGAUACCCCCGUAGUCCCUGUCUCUUAACU